rnacentral:rRNA from 1 species
UACGUAGGUGACGAGCGUUUAUCCGGAAUACUGGGCGUAAAGCGCACGCAAGCGGUUGGACAAGUCUGGCGUGAAAUCUCCUGGCUUAACUAGGAGCGGUCGCUGGAAACUGUUCGGCUUGAGGCGAUGAGAGGGGUGCAGAAUUCCCGGUGUAGUGGUGGAAUGCGUAAGAGAGUCGGAGGAAUACCAGUGGCGAAGGCGGGUUGCUGGGCUGACACUGACGCUGAUGCGCGAAAGCUAGGGGAGCGAACGGG